GUGGGGAAUCUUGCGCAAUGGGCGAAAGCCUGACGCAGCCAUGCCGCGUGAAUGAUGAAGGUCUUAGGAUUGUAAAAUUCUUUCACCGGGGACGAUAAUGACGGUACCCGGAGAAGAAGCUCCGGCUAACUUCGUGCCAGCAGCCGCGGUAAUACGAAGCGGGCUAGCGUUGCUCGGAAUUACUGGGCGUAAAGGGCGCGUAGGCGGACAGCUUAGUCAGAGGUGAAAGCCCAGGGCUCAACCUUGGAAUUGCCUUUGAUACUGGCUGUCUUGAGUUUGGGAGAGGUGAGUGGAACUCCGAGUGUAGAGGUGAAAUUCGUAGAUAUUCGGAAGAACACCAGUGGCGAAGGCGACUCACUGGCCCAAUACUGACGCUGAGGCGCGAAAGCGUGGGGAGCAAACAGGAUUAGAUACCCCUGUAGUCC
rnacentral:rRNA from 1 species